CUGCAUAAAAAAGAGAGGGAAAAUUAAUCGACACAAAUUAGUCAAAGGAAAAGAUUGUCUUGGAAGAACUAACCCAUAUGACUUGUCCAUUAUUUGAACUGUUUUCUGAAGAGGACUCUGACUCUAUGACCUUCAACAAUGUUGGAAGUCCACCCUCUCCAGCAGUUUCAAGAACAGUACAGCUACCCAAGGUCACCCCAGCAGGUAAUCCUCUGUUUUUAACAAAAUCUUUCAAGCUAUUAACUGUUGUCUCCGUAGGAUUCUGAGCAACACCGUGAAAUUUCUUGAACCCCUUGUUGGAAGUCCACCCUCUCCAGCAGUUUCAAGAACAGUACAGCUACCCAAGGUCACACCAGCAGGUAAUCCUCUCUUUUUAACAAAAUCUUUCAAGCUAUUAACUGUUGUCUCCGUAGGAUUCUGAGCAACACCGUGAAAUUUCUUGAACCCCGUCACAUGAAUUGUCACAGAUUUUGGCCCCUCUGAUCC
rnacentral:lncRNA from 1 species